rnacentral:rRNA from 1 species
GAAGGCUUUCGGGUCGUAAACCGCUGUCAAGAGGGAAGAAACUGUUAGGGUAUAAUACGCCCUUUCACUGACGGUACCUCUAGAGGAAGCACCGGCUAACUCCGUGCCAGCAGCCGCGGUAAUACGGAGGGUGCAAGCGUUAAUCGGAAUCACUGGGCGUAAAGCGUGCGUAGGCGGCGCAUCAAGUCAGGCGUGAAAGCCCUCGGCUCAACCGAGGAAUUGCGUUUGAAACUGGUGCGCUAGAGUCUCGGAGAGGUUGGCGGAAUUCCAGGUGUAGGAGUGAAAUCCGUAGAUAUCUGGAGGAACACCGGUGGCGAAGGCGGCCAACUGGACGAGUACUGACGCUGAGGUACGAAAGCGUGGGGAGCAAACAGGAUU